AAUCAACGCUGGCGGCGUGCCUAACACAUGCAAGUCGAACGCGAGAGGGCUUCGGCCCUGAUUGAGUGGCAAACGGGUGAGUAACGCGUGGGUGACCUACCUUCGAGUGGGGGAUAACGUUCCGAAAGGGACGCUAAUACCGCAUAACAUCCUGUCUUUGGACAGAUGGAGAUCAAAGCCGGGGAUCGUAAGACCUGGCGCUUGAGGAGGGGCCCGCGUCCGAUUAGCUAGUUGGUGGGGAAUGGCUCACCAAGGCAACGAUCGGUAGCCGGCCUGAGAGGGCGGACGGCCACACUGGGACUGAGACACGGCCAGACUCCUACGGGAGGCAGCAGUGGGAAUUGUUCGCAAUGGGCGCAAGCCUGACGACGCAACGCCGCGUGAAGGAUGAAGGUC
rnacentral:rRNA from 1 species